GUAGUAAUAGUUCAAUGGUAGAAUAUUCGUAUGUGGCACGAUCAAUCUGAGUUCGAAUCUCAGUUACUAUC
rnacentral:tRNA from 2 species